GAAAGUUCAAACUGCACGUUUAACUGGGAAGCUCCCUGCUGUCAAACACACACCGACUCUGAGACGACAUCAAGACGCACGCACACACACACACACAGCGGAGUCAUGUCCCAGAACCAAGCAACGCUCACCAGAACCCCCCUGGAGAAAACCUGGGUUCCCUGGAUGGGAAGCAGACUGAGCAAACGCAGAGGCUCUUCGGUUCCCCAGUUCACCAAUUCCCCGACCAUGAUAGUGAUGGUCGGCCUGCCGGCUCGGGGCAAAACCUACAUCUCCAAGAAGCUGACCAGGUACCUGAACUGGAUCGGGGUGUCGACCAAAGUGUUUAAUGUUGGGCAGUACAGAAGAGAAGCAACCCGCUCCUACAACAGCUACGAGUUUUUUAAACCCGACAACGCAGAAGCCAUGAAGAUACGCAACGCCUGUGUGAACACGGCCCUGCAGGAUGUGUGUGACUACCUGACCAGAGACCAAGGUCAGGUCGCGGUUUUUGAUGCCACCAACACGACGCCGGAGCGCAGAGAGGUCAUCCUCAACUUCAGCAAAGAAAAUGGUUACAAAGUUUUCUUUGUGGAGUCGAUAUGCGACGAUCCCGAAAUCAUUGCUGAAAAUAUUAAACAAGUGAAGCUUUCGAGUCCCGACUACGUAGACUGUGACAAAGAAGAAGCUGUUGCAGAUUUCCUGAAGAGGAUCGAGUGUUACAAGAUGACCUACGUUCCCCUGGAUGACAGCAAAGACCGGAGUUUAUCGUACAUUAAAAUCUUCAACGUGGGCAGCCGGUACCUGGUGAACCGGGUCCAGGACCACAUUCAGAGCCGGAUCGUCUACUACCUCAUGAACAUCCACGUCGCGCCCAGAUCCAUCUACCUGUCCCGGCACGGCGAGAGCGAGCUCAACCUGGUGGGGCGCAUCGGGGGAGACUCCGGCCUGUCCCACCGGGGGGCAAAGUUCGCCGCCGCGCUGGGCGCCUACAUGCGCGGGCAGAGCAUCAGGGACCUGAAGGUUUGGACGAGCCACAUGAAGAGAACCAUCCAGACCGCCGAGGCGCUGCAGGUCCAGUACGAGCAGUGGAAGGCCCUCAACGAGAUCGACGCUGGAGUUUGUGAGGAAAUGACUUAUGAGGAGAUUCAGGAGCAUUACCCAGAGGAGUUCGCUCUGAGGGAUCAGGACAAAUAUCGGUACCGGUACCCCAAAGGAGAGUCGUACGAGGACCUGGUCCAGCGUCUGGAGCCCGUCAUCAUGGAGCUGGAGAGGCAGGAGAACGUCCUGGUCAUCUGUCACCAGGCGGUUAUGAGAUGUCUGCUGGCCUACUUCCUGGACAAGAGUGCAAGCGAGCUGCCCUACCUGAAGUGUCCUCUGCACACCGUCCUGAAGCUCACGCCGGUCGCCUACGGGUGUAAAGUUGAGUCGGUGUUUCUCAACAUUGAAGCCGUGAACACACACAGAGACCGGCCGGAGGUAAAGUCCCUUACACAGCGAUAACACGCAGAAACAGAUGAAGAUUUUCAGACCUGCCUUGGUGAUCUGAUAAAAGGACUCAUGAUUUUACAAAUGUGGAUGUGGACAGAGACCCGGAGGAGGCGCUGGAGACGGUACCUGAACACAUCUAGAGGACGCCUCAGCUCAACGUCCGUCACGUCCAGAGGAGAAGUCUUAUUUUAAUUUAUGUAAUCCUUGUUUUUAGAAAACUGAGAGCUUACAGAUAAUGAACGGUUUCUUCAACAGCAUCUUAAUUCCACUGUUAGUGCACUUUAUCUAGAAGGGUCCAGGUUGAAAACAACUGCUAAAAAGUGAAGAACUGAAAACGACCUUCAGGACUGUUCACCAGUCAUUAAUCUCUGUUUCACACUGCAUCACUUCAUCCUGUGUUGUUCCUUCAACUCUUGUAAUUUCAGCAAUAAUAGAGGAGAUGCCGUGCCGCCAUGUUUUAGUGGUAGUUUUAGAUUUCAAAAGUGAUGUUCAUUGAUUUACGCAAAGGGCUUCAUUCCCUCAUCUGCACAUUAUUCAGCUCAGCAGAGACAUUAACACACCGUAUUCACAGUAUAGAAAAAAACUAAGUCACCACCUGAAUUUAACUGUUAAAUUCAGAUACCAUCACAUUUCCAAGAACUUUGUAACUGACAGCCAUGUUGGUAGGCAGUUGCUAUGACAACAGUAAACAAGCCACAAGCUUAGAACUAGUUCUUGGGUUCCUAUCUGCAACAAUAUAAGUACAUUGCAACUAUUACUUGAUUGAUUACAGUUUUUGAGUACUCUACCCACCUCUACGUGAUACUGAGAUAAAUAUCAGCGAUAUUUACUGUAGUACUUACUGCCGAACUAGCUAAAUUAGCUGAGCUAAUGUAGCUUAUCUACUAGCUAAGACACUAAAAUAUUUUUAUUCUGUUUACUAGGGUGUCAGCGCAUCCUAUAAUGUCUUCAGUUUAUUAAAAAUAUACGGUAAGUUGGUCCUAAGUACGUUUAUCACAGGUCUUACAAUUUGUCGUGGCAGAGCUAUUUAACAAAAUAUGUUUGAGUCGCGCGCACAUCAUUGCGGUUUAGGCUACCACUAGCUAGCUGCUAACAGACCCUUGCUAGCCACCCAUCUUUUUGCGGAGAAGCUGGAAAGUCCAGAAAUGUCCAGAAGUAAACAUUUUCGACUUUUCAAACUCAGAAAUUAAAUUUUUUCUAUAAGAUUUCUGAGAUUAAGUUGAAGUUGUUUUUUGGGGGGUAUUUUCGGCUAAAAUGUAAUAGUUUGUUUUAUUUACAAAGGCCCUGAAGCGCCGCUGAAGAACCAAUUACCUGACGUCACGGCGGAGUCUCGCAGCUGGAAGCUUUAAACUUUCCGUCCACAUUCCUAAAACCUUCAUGUGUGGCUCUGUGUUGACAUUCAGUUACACAUAAAAUAUCCAGAUCAUAAACAAUUUGUUAUAACCUUUGCUCAGUUUUAGCUCAAAAUAAGACGUUCGUUUUCAAGGACACCACGUCUACAGUAGCCCAGAAGGGACAAAUCAUUCUGUUUAUUUACGCUGUGCCUUUAAAAACUAUUAAUUUUCUGAUUCAUAAUAUUAUGAGCCGGAAGAAGGAUGUCUAUGAAGGUUCUCAAAGGCAUCAAAAAUGCAAAUAAUACCGCGCAUAAGUAUUCUCAUCAUGUUCAGCCGCUAGAUGGCGUCGCAGCCUCAUUUUUCUACACUGAGGGUUUUUUAGCUGUUAAAUUAUCUGAAUCCAGUGGAAAUGUGGGCCUCCGCCUGUUUUAACACCAUCCAACAUUCCUUCUGUUUACCAAACCCCCAGGCCCAUCUGCCACCACCGUGCUUCACAUGGUACCUCCAUUUAUUAUUUACAUUUUUUAUACAAACUCUUGUGAAGAAUUCCUGUGGGAAUUAACUGUAUCUGUGAUGAUAUAUGAUUUUUUUAAUAGCUGAGUACUGUUUGAACAAUAUGAGCCAUGUUACUUUUGAUUUUUACUUUUUCAAGCUCUCAUCCUUUACUAAUCAUGUAAAAUGGAGGAUGAGGUCGACAAUCUGCAUUUUUUCCACCUUAAAAAGAAAUUCUGACUUUUUAUCUCAUAAUUAUUACUUUGAAAGCCAAAAUUAUGACAACUAUGACAGUGUUUCUCUUUGCUCUGACAACGCGUUUAGGGUGCUGUUUCUAAAGUUACACAGUAAAAAAAAUUAACAGCAAUAAUUUUCAGUGUUUAGCUUCUGUGGAUGUUUUCCAAAGUCAUAUUUUCACCAAGUUAUUCCUAAGUUAUAAAUGUCAGAUUUCCAAACUACAUAUUUAAUUCACAAGCUCCAAAUUCAAUAUAUUUUGCUAACUAAAUUAAUUUCCAAACUAAACAUUUAUUUGAAUAUUAAAUAUUUAUUUGUCAAACUAAAUUUUUAGUAAGCAAGCUUCGUAUUUAACUUGCUUACCAAAUACUUAGCAACCUGAGUGUUUAUUUUGCUAACUAAGUAGCUAGCUAAGUAGCUAACUGCAUAUGUAUUUGGUUUGCUUGCUAAAUAUCUAUAUUGAACUCAGACUGAAACAUUUAGUUCAGAACAAAAUGUUUUGCUUCCUAAACAUUUUUAGGAAGCUUCCUAUUUAAUUUCAUAGCUAAAUAUUUAGUUGGGAAAAAUCAAUAUUUAUUUUGGGACUCUAACAUUUAUUAAGGUAGGAAUAAAAUGAAUAUAUGAAAAAUAAACACCCAGAUGAAAGGCUAAAUAAAACUACAGCUGUAAAUUUUCACAGUAACUUUACAAACAGCAUCCCAUUUGCAUAAACUGUUUCCUAAUUUACUGGAAAUCUGUUUUGUUGCACAUGUGCACUUUUAAAACCGUUUUAGACGCCUGCAAAGCUGCCGCAGCAUUCAUGUAAACUGAAAGUUAAUCUGUGUGGUUUCCAGAUUAACCAGAACCAUCUCGGAUUUACACGCUCAAAGAUUCGUAACGUCACAAGUCAGCGUCGUCCUGAUCCAGCUGCAUCGAGUCAUUAUGUGAAUUAUUAUUUAAGAUUUAUGCUCUUGAUUCUGUCACUGUAAUUCUUUUUAAUCCAGGUCUUUAAAAAUGAAACAUUGUGAAACAUUAAGUGUAUUUGUUGUGUAAUCUGUGUUGUAACCGUCUGGUUAAAAUCAGGUGCCUGAAUAAACAUCAUCUCUGAACUA